AAAUACGAACAAAGUAAUGGCACAGUGAUCCAGCGGAGGAAAAAAGUGUUCGUACGAAUACUCGGCAACAGAAGAAACAACAAAGAAUGGCAAUUUUUCCGUUGCAUACGAAGACUUACAGUUGAGAAGUCGACUGCUUGAGUCUCCGGGCAGGCUGUCAGUCGCCGGUUUCCACUGAGUGCACGAGCUAACGUAGCACAAGCGGGCAACCAAACAACAAAAACCCGAACUAGAGGCGAAAGAACGAACGAAUCACUUCAACUGUAAGCACAAACGAGCCAACGGCAGUGCGAACCAGUGGAUCUUCCUCAACACAAUUCAGUUGCUGAAUUGUCUAAAAGCAACAAUGCGUGGCAAUCUUCCUAUGCGUGUAAUCUGGCUGAGGUGAGAAAAUAGCAGAAAUUGCGUGGAAAGCAUACAAAACAGAUCGCGCUACCUUCGGGUUUGCUGACUCACAGAUCGUCGAUUUAUAUGCAACAUAAGCAAGGGAUUGAAGGGGAUAAGCGUGUGCCUAAAAUCAGAGCAGCAAGUGAAAGUUUCCAUGGGAGCGUGUAUGUGGAAAUGGACGUCCAGUUACCAAGGCUAAAUGAGAUGGUUGCUAAGUGCGGGUGCUAGGACAAUUUAAACAAAAUUUUGAAUUACGAUACUUGUAUAAUAUGUAAUAGAUUUGCGUAUAUAAUAGGCCGAUUUGUUGGACGUUAUUGGCGAGACUCCCUUUAGGAGCAAUGGAAAACUAACGGAUCCCUUGCCAAUUCCUUAUAUGAAACUGAUUUCUUAAUAGUAGGCGAACAAAAAUCCGCUGGGCUGAUAUUUUCACAUAAUUAAUAAGUUUGAAGACCUUGCAAAAGUGGAAAAAAAUCGCUAGAAAUAAAUUCGCAGCCGCUUUCGUUGGCGUACCGGCCUGUGCCACACUACCGCCUAA